UGGGGAUUAUUGGACAAUGGGCGAAAGCCUGAUCCAGCCAUGCCGCGUGUGUGAAGAAGGUCUUCGGAUUGUAAAGCACUUUAAGUUGGGAGGAAGGGUAGUAAGCGAAUACCUUGCUGUUUUGACGUUACCGACAGAAUAAGCACCGGCUAACUCUGUGCCAGCAGCCGCGGUAAUACAGAGGGUGUAAGCGUUAAUCGGAAUUACUGGGCGUAAAGCGCGCUUAGGUGGUUCGUUAAGUUGAAUGUAAAAGACCCCGGCUGAACCUGGGAAGUGCAUCCAAAGCUGGCGAGCUAGAGUAGGGCAGGGGAUGGUGGAAGUUCCUGUGUAGCGGUGAAAUGCGUAGAGAUCUGGAGGAAGACCGAUGGCGAAGGCAGCCAUCUGGCCUAACACUGACGCUGAGGUACGAAAGCAUGGAGAGCAGACAGG
rnacentral:rRNA from 1 species